UCCACCUAGGCCUCUGCGUGGAAGAGGGGGGUGCCCGGAGCUCUCUCCCUCGCUGCCCUUGGAAGGCCCUCCCGCUCUUCCCCCUAUCCGGGGAAUCCCAGGAAUGCCACCCCCCUUCCUCCUUCCUGCUCCCCCCUUCAGUUCCCUCCCAGCCUUGGCGGGGAGGGGAGGAGAGUCAGGCUGGCAGGAGCAGGUCGGGAUCUGUUUUUAGCUUCCCUGGCUGGUCUCACCGCCACCCCCCACUUCCUGCUGGCUCUCUUGUUUGCUGUGGUCGAAUAAUGUUCCCGGACUUCCCGAGCUGUUUGUUUGAAGACGGCCCAGUAUUGAUUGAAGCUGGUGUGUACCCAGCCUGAGACGCUGACAGAGAGCUGCCCCUCCCCAGCAGCCCAAGGUCCCAGAAAAUCCUGGGGUGGCAGGUAGGGAGAGAAGAAAGCAAGGCCUGGCCUUAAGUAAAAAAUAAACAGAUGUUUUGGGGGCCUUAAAGACCCCAACCCUGG